rnacentral:rRNA from 1 species
UACAGAGGUCUCAAGCGUUGUCCGGAUUUAUUGGGCGUAAAGCGCGUGUAGGCGGCCAGGUAGGUCCGCUGUGAAAACCCGAGGCUCAACCUCGGGACGUCGGCGGAAACCAUCUGGCUAGAGUCCGGAAGAGGAGAGUGGAAUUCCCGGUGUAGCGGUGAAAUGCGCAGAUAUCGGGAAGAACACCCGUGGCGAAGGCGGCUCUCUGGGACGGUACUGACGCUGAGACGCGAAAGCGUGGGGAGCGAACAGG